GGCUCUGAGUUAUCUGGCUGUGACAUCUGUCACCUCACUGAUCGCAGGGUUGAUUUGACUGAUCUGGCUGGCUAGGCAGGGGUCUAGCCCUUCCCUUGCUGCUCCGUGUUCACCUCUUCUGAAGCUGUGUGCUUGAUAGCCUUCCCCAGCAUGUCUGCUCUUCAAGGGUAUACGAAUAGCUGUGCUUGGCCCUCUCUGCUGGUUAGUUAUUGUUGACUAACCCUCUCCACCAGAGUAUCAUGUCUGUGAAACAUAUUAUCAUUUCUAUUGAUAUGGGAGGGCCCAGCGCACUGUGGGUGGUGCCAUCCC
ensembl:misc_RNA Gm22604 predicted gene, 22604